UAGGGAAUAUUGGACAAUGGGGGCAACCCUGAUCCAGCCAUGCCGCGUGAGUGAAGAAGGCCCUCGGGUUGUAAAGCUCUUUUGUCCGGAAAGAAAAGCUUCGGGUUAAUACCCCGGGGUUCUGACGGUACCGGAAGAAUAAGCACCGGCUAACUUCGUGCCAGCAGCCGCGGUAAUACGGAGGAUCCUAGCGUUAUCCGGAUUUACUGGGUAUAAAGGGUGCGUAGGCGGGCGCUUAAGUCCGCGGUGAAGGUCUGCGGCUCAACCGUAGGAUUGACGUGGAUACUGGGGGUUUUGGAUUCGGUCGGGGCGGGCGGAAUGCGUGUGUAGCGGUGAAAUGCAGAGAUAUCACGCAGAACGCCGAUAGCGAAGGCAGCUCGCCGGGCCGACAUCGACGCUGAGGCACGAAAGCGUGGGGAUCAAACA
rnacentral:rRNA from 1 species